rnacentral:rRNA from 1 species
AUUGAACGCUGGCGGCAGGCCUAACACAUGCAAGUCGAACGAGUGGCGGACGGGUGAGUAAUGUCUGGGAAACUGCCUGAUGGAGGGGGAUAACUACUGGAAACGGUAGCUAAUACCGCAUACCAUCAGAUGUGCCCAGAUGGGAUUAGCUAGUUGGUGGGGUAAAGGCCUACCAAGGCGACGAUCAGUAGCGGGUCUGAGAGGACGAUCCGCCACACUGGGACUGAGACACGGCCCAGACUCCUACGGGAGGCAGCAGUGGGGAAUUUUGGACAAUGGGGGCAACCCUGAUCCAGCCAUGCCGCGUGUAUGAAGAAGGCCUUCGGGUUGUAAAGUACUUUUGUUAGGGAAGCGGUACCUAAAGAAUAAGCACCGGCUAACUACGUGCCAGCAGCCGCGGUAAUUC